rnacentral:rRNA from 1 species
CCUACGGGUGGCAGCAGUGGGGAAUAUUGCACAAUGGGGGAAACCCUGAUGCAGCGACGCCGCGUGAGUGAAGAAGUUUUUCGGAAUGUAAAGUCCUUUUAGCAGGGAAGAAAAUGACGGUACCUGACUAAUAAGCACCGGCUAACUACGUGCCAGCAGCCGCGGUAAUACGGAGGGGGCAAGCGUUAUCCGGAUUUACUGGGUGUAAAGGGAGCGUAGACGGGAGAGCAAGUCUGGAGUGAAAUCCCAGGGCUUAACCCUAGAACUGCAUUUGAAACUGUGAUGCUAGAGUGGGGGAGAGGUAAGUGGAAUUCUUAGUGUAGGGGUGAAAUGCGUAGAGAUUAGGAGGAACACUCGUGGCGAAGGCGACUUGCUGGACUGUAACUGACGUUGAUGCUCGAAAGCGUGGGGAGCAAACAGGAUUAGAUACCCGAGUAGUC